AUUGAACGCUGGCGGCAUGCUUUACACAUGCAAGUCGGACGAGUGGCGAACGGGUGAGUAACAUAUCGGAACGUACCGAGUAAUGGGGGAUAACUAAUCGAAAGAUUAGCUAAUACCGCAUAUUAUUCGAGCGGCCGAUAUCUGAUUAGCUGGUUGGUGGGGUAAAGGCCUGCCAAGGCGACGAUCAGUAGCGGGUCUGGGAGGAUGGUCAGCCAACAGGGGGCGGAGACGCGGCCCAGUCUCCUACGGUAGGCAUCAGUGGGGAAGUUAGGACAAUGGGCGCAAGCCUGGGCCAGCCAGUCCACGUGUCUGAAGGAGGCAUUCGGGUUGUAAAGGACUUUUGUCAGGGAAGCGGUACCUGAAGAAUAAGCACCGGCUAACUACGUGCCAGCCGCCGCGGUAAUUC
rnacentral:rRNA from 1 species